rnacentral:rRNA from 1 species
AAUUAUAAACAUCAUGUAAUGAUUUCCUAGUGGUCUUCGAACUCCACAGUUAAGCAUGCUCAGGCUAGAGUAGUACUGUGAUGGGUGAUCGCCCAUGAAAUCCUAGUGUUUUACUUG